UACGCAUUGAUUAACAUUUUUAUAUUGCUACGCGAGCAAAAUCAGUUGCGACAAAAGGAGGUAGAAAUCAGUCGCGCGUGAACCGUGCGUAGGAACGUUUGAUCUUCUAUCGGUUAGGACGACAUCCAUUCGCGGAAAUGAGCGUACCUAAGUCGCUUCAGUCUUACUUUUACGAAAGGAAGUGCUAUUUGUGCGAGAAACACACGGUUUAUCCGGACCACGACGAUGCUAAGAAAUCGACUCACAGAGUGAGAUUCAGCGAGCCCAGCAAGAUGUUAAGAUCAGCUUCGCCACAAUAUCCCAGCAGAGCAUCCGAUGCUCGAGUGAUCCGUCUGACAGCGGAUCAAGAAGCUGUCCUCCAAGAACAGUUCAAUAGAUGGCCCAGGGCACCUCAUGCGGCGGAUAUCGUCCUUUUGGCAGCCGAAACUGGACUCUCGGAAUCCGACGUUGAGGCUUGGUAUGCUAUCCGAUUAGCCCAGUGGAGGAAAGAGCAGGGCCUGGGAGGAAAUCUUGGUCUACAUUAACGUUUAAUAUCGAGACAUCUCAUAAAAGACCCCACUUCAAGAUCUUCACUGCUGUAUUGUGUGCAACUUCAGGAUUCACAAACCUUGCAAGCGGCAUGAUAAAUCUAUUAUAAAACUUCUCAUCGCCCUGGCGGUGCGACAUUUUAAAAUAGAAGUAAUUCUUUUACAUAAA